AGUGAACGCUGGCGGUAGGCCUAACACAUGCAAGUCGAACGGCAGCACAGUAAGAGCUUGCUCUUACAGGUGGCGAGUGGCGGACGGGUGAGGAAUACAUCGGAAUCUACUUUUUCGUGGGGGAUAACGUAGGGAAACUUACGCUAAUACCGCAUACGACCUACGGGUGAAAGCAGGGGAUCUUCGGACCUUGCGCGAUUGAAUGAGCCGAUGUCGGAUUAGCUAGUUGGCGGGGUAAAGGCCCACCAAGGCGACGAUCCGUAGCUGGUCUGAGAGGAUGAUCAGCCACACUGGAACUGAGACACGGUCCAGACUCCUACGGGAGGCAGCAGUGGGGAAUAUUGGACAAUGGGCGCAAGCCUGAUCCAGCCAUACCGCGUGGGUGAAGAAGGCCUUCGGGUUGUAAAGCCCUUUUGUUGGGAAAGAGAAGCAGCAGGUUAAUACCCCGCUGUUCUGACGGUACCCAAAGAAUAAGCACCGGCUAACUUCGU
rnacentral:rRNA from 1 species